CAGCAGCCGCGGUAAUACGGAGGGAGCUAGCGUUGUUCGGAAUUACUGGGCGUAAAGCGCACGUAGGCGGCUUUUCAAGUCAGGGGUGAAAUCCCGGGGCUCAACCCCGGAACUGCCCUUGAAACUGGAUGGCUAGAAUACUGGAGAGGUGAGUGGAAUUCCGAGUGUAGAGGUGAAAUUCGUAGAUAUUCGGAAGAACACCAGUGGCGAAGGCGACUCACUGGACAGUUAUUGACGCUGAGGUGCGAAAGCGUGGGGAGCAAACAGGAUUAGAUACCCCAGUAGUCCCUGUCUCUUAUAC
rnacentral:rRNA from 1 species